rnacentral:rRNA from 1 species
CAUGCCGCGGUGAAUACGUUCCCGGGCCUUGUACACACCGCCCGUCACACCAUGGGAGUUGGUUUGACCUUAAGCCGGUGAGCGAACCCGCAAGGGGCGCAGCCGACCACGGUCGGGUCAGCGACUGGGGUGAAGUCGUAACAAGGUAGCCGUAGGGGAACCUGCGGCUGGAUCACCUCCUUUCAAGGA